UGGAAACCGGAAGCGGCGGCGGGGCCGGGCAGGCAGGCUCCUGGGCGCGGGAGACCAGGCAGGGUCCACACCCUGUGCGCCGCCUCCUCCCGACGCCAGCCCCCAGCGUUUGGUCCGGAAGGGGGUGCUGCGGGGUGUCUGGAGAGGGCCUCGCGGAUGCCCCCAGGACCAGCGGCCCCGGGGCCUCCAGGGAACAUGGGCGUGCUUCGGGCCGGACUGUGCCCCGGCCUCACUCAGGACAUGGUCCAGCUUCUGCAGAGCCGCGGGAUCAAGACAGUGGUGGACCUGGUUUCUGCAGACUUGGAGGAGGUAGCCCAGAAAUGUGGUUUGUCUUAUAAGGCCCUGGUCGCCCUGAGGCGGGUGCUGCUGGCUCAGUUCUCCGCUUUUCCCUGCAAUGGCGCUGAUCUCUACGAGGAACUGAAGACGUCCACGGCCAUCCUGUCCACCGGCAUUAGAAGCCUGGACAAACUGCUCGAUGCCGGUCUUUAUACUGGAGAAGUGACUGAAAUCGUAGGAGGCCCAGGUAGCGGCAAAACCCAGGUGUGUCUCUGUGUGGCUGCGAACGUGGCCCACAGCCUGCAGCAGAAGGUCCUGUACAUCGAUUCCAACGGCGGGCUCACAGCCUCCCGCAUCCUCCAGCUGCUUCAGGCCAGAACCUCAGAUGAGGAGGAGCAGGCGGGAGCUCUCCAGAGGAUCCAGGUGGUGCGUGUGUUUGACAUCUUCCAGAUGCUGGAUGUGCUCCAGGACCUGCGAGGAGCUGUAGCCCAGCAGGUGAGCAGUUCUGCAGGGACUGUGAAGGUGGUGGUGGUGGACUCGGUCACUGCGGUGGUCUCCCCUCUUCUGGGAGGUCAGCAGAGGGAAGGCUUGGCCUUGAUGAUGCAGCUGGCCCGAGAGCUGAAGACCCUGGCACGGGACCUGGGCGUGGCAGUGGUGGUGACCAACCAUGUGACCCGAGACAGGGACAGCGGGAAGCACAAACCUGCCCUUGGACGCUCCUGGAGCUUUGUGCCCAGCACCCGGCUUCUCCUGGACAUCAGCCGAGAUGCAGGAGCAGGCAGCCGGCGUGUGGCACGUCUGACCAAGUCUCCCCGCCUGGUGAGCCGGCCCCAAGGGGAAAGCCAGGAUUCUCGGCCCCUGAGGGUGGUGUCCGGGCCCACAGGUGUCUCACUGAGGAAUUCUUGGAUGCUGAGACCCUGCAGCCGAAGAGGGUUAUGCCGCUCCUCUCACUGUCCCCUCCUGUCUCCUUCCAGCCAACAGGUUUCCAGGAGAUGGUGGACAUUGGGACCUGGGGGACCCCAGAGCAGAAUCCGUCACAGGGCGAUGACAUAUGACUGUGCUGGCAGGCAAAGGGCGAGGUGUCAAGACCCAACCCUCCUGCACAGCAAUGCCCGCCCUUCACUGCCAGCAGCCCUCAGGCAGCAGAGAUGCUCUUGGGCUGGGCAGACACCUCAGUCCUCAGCUCUUCUCUCUCGGAAACACAGCGCCACUGGCAAGAGAGGAUGCCGCUGUGGAAAGACCCAGAAAUUCACGCUGGUGCCAGGUUUUCUGCCCUUGUUUCUACCGUAUAUGUUUCCAAGGGGAGCUGAGUUCUCCCUGGCUUGGGCAUCAGAAGAGGCAUUCUAGUGACUGAAAGGGUGACCCUGUGUGUCCACAUCAUACCCUGGCUCCAUCCUAACCCAGUGGAUGAGCCUGAGGCCUCUAGCUGGCCGUUGCUCCCCUCCUUCUUUUUGCCUCUGUUUUUCCAUCUGUAAGAUGGGGCUCCCUUUCCCUGUGCUCUGUCUUUGAGUUACUGGAUGGAAGUAACCUUGUAAAUGCAAAACUCUUCUUCAUGCAGGUCCUGCCCUUAAAAACAUAAAAAAAGGAAAUCCCCUGAACCCCAGAACCCUCUAACUUCUCCCCAGAAGGUCAUUUUUCAGUUUCCUCCAGAGGGGGCCGCAAAGAAGGGUUAUUUUCUUUUCCGCUUGCUGAUUCGGUUUCACACACACCUGCAUGCAUCACCGGGACCCAGUGAGACCAGGAGCUCACCGCAGUCCCAGGGAUAUAAUUUAAGUGGAAGGGAAGAUGUGACCUGCGCCUGGGGCAUCCAGCUACUUGUUAACAUGCAUGGUGCCCUGUGGGGGCCCCUCCGCAGUAGAGAGUAACCAGAGGUGCUGAACCAUGGCCUUGCCCGUCAACAGACAGGAGAAUUUGCACAGUAAAUAGAGCCAGCUGGGAAAAUUGAUGCUGGCGUAAAUAAUACAUGGCAAAUCUAGUCCUUUAUGCAGAAAUUCAUUGCCGGUGGCUCCAAGAUGCAAUAUAAUUACCUUUCUCUUCCUGCCAGCUGUACCACAGCCUGGUGCCCUAGUGGAUGCACUAACCCCCGCUGCCUGUUACCGCCAUCAAGGCCAUCCAUCUGCGAGCUGUAACCCUGGCUGGGGCGUGGGGAACAGCCACUGGGAACGGGGCAAUAAAAGGCAAAGGAGAGAAAUGAUCAGAAUUGUUUACUGACCACAUUUUUUUAAAGGAAGCCCACCUUUCUUGGUUGGAGAGCCUGUUGUGUAAUUAAUUAGUUGUGUCUUGGCUGCAGGAAGGGGAGUCAGAGUUGCAGGCAGAAGAUGCACCAUGAGAGGCAAUGAGCAGCAGGGGUAAAAGCAAGAUGCACUGAGGAUGCGAACAAGUGGCAGACAGGCCCGAGGGUAUCUGCCUGAGUGAGGACAGGCAUUUUCGAGAUGGCAAAGGAGCAAGGCAGGAAUAUUUUUCACCUGAUCAAAAUAGUCAUUGAGUUCCCCCCAGACCGUCUUUAUUUUGUCUUUUUAGGGCCAUACCCACAGCAUAGGGAAGUUCUCAGGCUAAGGGUAGAAUCAGACCUGCAGCUACUGGCCUACACCACAGCCACAGCAACGCUGGAUCCAAGCUGCGUCUGCGACCUAUACCACAGGUCACGGCAACACCAGAUCUUUAACCCACUGAGCAAGGCCAGGGAUCAAACCCGAAACCUCAUGGUUCCUAGUCGGAUUCACUAACCACUGAGCCAUGAUGGGAACUCCCUUGAUGGCUUUUAAGUCAGGCACUUGAACUCCCAAAGACUGACUCAGGCUAAAGGUUGGUGUAUUGUUGUGGCUGAAAGAGGCUUAAACAGAAGCAUUAUUAUCUCUAGUAAUAUGAAGUCCAAGGUUGGCUCUUUCGGUGGCUUAUCUUCAAAGGGCAUAGGGCCUUUCUAUCUCUCUGCCCUGCUCUGUUCUUUUGUAUUGAUUUGUCUUCAGGCUCCCUCUCAUCCAAACAGUCAUUCUGAGCAUCAGUCCAGACAUGACAAUAUCCACAGGCAGAAAUAUGAUUGCCUCCUUGUUGUGUCCUUUUAAGGACGAAGAAAAUGCAGAACUUUUUUCCAAUUCUAUCAGACUUAUAUCACAUUAGUGCAGAACUGCUUCAUGCACCCACAUCUAAAUCAUGGCAAGGGAAACGGGACCAUUGUAAUUGGCUUAGAUCAACUGGGAAGUAGCCCUGGAGCUGAGCCUGGGGGCAUGUGGCCAUCAGAAGGAAAUAGGGAUGCUACUAGAAAGGCAGGAGUGUGCAGGUUGGCGUUGGACUUGGGUGGGCAACCAGCAGUGUCUGCCAGAUCCAGGAGCCACAUUUAUCAAGGCUCCUGUGCUUAAGCCCUCGGUCCACAUGUCAGACCUCAUGGAGAGUAAAUGGGAGUCCAGCGAGGUUAAGGACAUAACGCUUGUAAGUGAGCAGUACGAGAAUCCAAACUUGGGGAGUUCCUGUUGUGGCUCAGUGGGUUUGAGAAUCUGACUAGUAUCUGUGAGGAUGUGGCUUUGGUCACUUGCCUUGUUCAGUGGGUUGAGGAUCUAGUGUUGCCGUGAGCUGUAGUGUAGGUCACAGAUGCAGCUCGCGGGAUCUCGUGCGGCUGUGGCUGUGGUGUAGGCUGGCAGCAGCAGCUGAUUUAACCCCUAGCCUGGGAACUUCCAUAUGCCACAGGUUUGGCCCUAAAAAAAGAAAAAAAAAACAAACAAACCAAACUUGAAUCUGUCUGAUUCCAAACCUUACUUUCCAUCCUCAUGCUGCCUUAAGCUGUGAAUAUGUAAAUAUUUCAAUUAAAUUCUUCAUAUUUUGCCCUCAUAGCAGCCAAGGCUACUCAUCUCCACCUCUUUUCAUCUUUGCUCACCAUAAAGACUGGAUCAGAGAUCUAUUUUCUCAGCACUUUCCAGUUUUCCCAAGGGAAAUUUAUGAGAAUGACAUCUCACUCAAAGAAGGGAGAUAGCGUUGGUGUCAAGGUGAACUAUAAAGCUGAAUAAAAGACAGCAGGGCCUGUGAAUCCCUGAGAUGUGAGCCAGCAGGAGAUAAGGGAUUUAGAUGAAUAUUCCAACUGGGUGUUUUUAUGUUUUUGUUUUUGCUUUUUAGGGCCAUACCUGCGGCAUAUGGAGCUUCCCAGGCUAAAUCUCCAAUUAGAGGUCUAAUUGGAGCUGUAGCUGCUGGGCUUCGCCACAGCCACAGCAACGCCGGAUCUGAGCCACGUCUGCAACCGACACCACAGCUGACUGCAAGGCCGGAUCCUCAACCCACUGAGCAAGGCCAGGGGUCGAAUCUGCAUCCUCAUGGAUCCUUGUUGGGUUCCUUAACUGCUGAGCCACGAAGGGAACUCCUCCAACUAGGUUUUACUGUGCUCGGGCACCGAGUUUCACACGGGGGAGAGUGAAAACUCUCCACUUGCUGGGGAUAGGCACUGAAGAAGGCUUUGUGAUGUAUGGAGCUUAAAUUAGAGCUUGGCAGUUUAUCCAUCCAAGCUUACCUUCAAAAAGGUGUUUCCCUCAUGUUUUCCUGUCAUUCUGCACUGGCUUGACUCACUUCCCGUGCUGAGUUUAACAGACGCAGCGGGAGUCAUCGUCCUCGGGUUGUUCCUGACUCCGGCGAGCCGUUUGCAAUAUUUCAUCAUUAAGCAAGAUGCUGUAGGUUCCCUGUAGUUCCGGUUUCCAAGGUGAAGACCUCCUUGUGUUUCCUCUCUAUCCUGGAGAAGGAGGCCAGAUACUGGCCUUUCUGUUUGGCACACGGAGAAGUCUCUGCUAGCCAGUGGAAGGUUCCAUGCAUCCCGGAGCUGUGUAGGUGCACUUCGGCUGCUCCACAAGCUUGACUCCUUGAGUAGCCUUUGAAUCCUAGCUCUUCCCUGCCUCUCUGGUUUCUGAGUGUCACAGUCGCAAUAUAAACCUGAGUUUUGCCAGAAGCCAAUAAGCAUAUGCUGAAAAGGAUACAACAUCAAGCAAUAAGAUUUACGUCUCAUCUAACCUGGCCUUCGCGCUGACACUUACUGUAUGUCAUUGGACAAAUCAGCCUUUUUAAGCCUUAGUUUCAUCCACUGGAAAAUAGGGAAAAUAAUACCUACUGCAUACAAUUGCUUUAGGGUCAUACAGCUUUUGUAAAACACCAAAGACUUCCCCAGGCAUAUAAUAGGCCCCCUAUUUCACAUCACUGGAAGGCUCAGGAUACCUGGAGACAGCUUCCUUCUGUUCAGGCCAGGCUGGCUUCACGGUAGUCUGACCAGUGCAGUUGUGCAGAGCCCAUGCUCUGCUAUUGCCGUCCUGAAAUUCCUAGUACUUUUGAACAAGGGCCCCACGUUUGCAUUGUGCUCUUAAAACUUUGUAGCCAGGAGGGAGUGCCUGUUGUGGCUCAGCGGUAAUGAACCCGACUAGUAUCCAUGAGGAUGGGGGUGCAAUCCCUGGCCUCACUCAGUGGGUCAGUGAGCUGUGGUGUAGGUUGCAGAUGCAGCUCAGAUCUGAUGUGGCUGUGGCUGUGGCUGGCAGCUGCAGUUCUCCAAUUUGACCCCUAGCCUGGGAACCUCCAUAUGCUGCAGGUGUGGGCCCCCCCCCAAAAAAAAAAUACCCACUGGGCCGUUUCUGGCCACAUUAGUUGGACAAGGUAAUGUCUUUGUCUCUUUGGUAAAAUAUAUGUUGCAGGGGAAUUACAUUUUCCUUAUUGGUAAAAUAUAUGUCUCGGGAAUUAAACAUAAUUUAUGUAAAGUGCCUUUCACAGAGUCUGGCACUUAGUAGGUGCUCAAUCACCAUUCAUUCUUCCGGCUCUUGCCCAAAGUAACAAAAAUCAGGGCUCUAGACUUACAAGCCAUGCUGCUGCUAAUAAAAGAAAUAAUAUGAUUUAUUUUUUCAUUGCUGUUGGGAGAAAGGCAUGUGCUUCAUAAAUAUGUAUUGGAAAGUACUUAGCGAAUGAGUAGAAAUAAUAAAAAUACGUCAAAGUAAA